rnacentral:rRNA from 1 species
GACGAACGCUGGCGGCGUGCUUAACACAUGCAAGUCGAACGGUAAGGCCCUUCGGGGUACACGAGUGGCGAACGGGUGAGUAACACGUGGGUGAUCUGCCCUGCACUUUGGGAUAAGACUGGGAAACUGGGUCUAAUACCGACUACACCCUGCUGGUCGCAUGGCCUGGUGGGGGAAAGCUUUUGCGGUGUGGGAUGGGCCCGCGGCCUAUCAGCUUGUCGGUGGGGUGAUGGCCUACCAAGGCGACGACGGGUAGCCGGCCUGAGAGGGUGACCGGCCACACUGGGACUGAGAUACGGCCCAGACUCCUACGGGAGGCAGCAGUGGGGAAUAUUGCACAAUGGGCGCAAGCCUGAUGCAGCGACGCCGCGUGAGGGAUGACGGCCUUCGGGUUGUAAACCUCUUUCAAUAGGGACGAAGCGCAAGUGACGGUACCUAUAGAAGAAGGACCGGCCAACUACGUGCCAGCCGCCGCCGUAA